CGCGGCGCGUAAAUUCAAAGGCGUUCCUCGGCGACCUUACGACCUUCUCAGUAGGAGUUGGUUGUGACUCGACUCCGACGCGCGUUGUAUCCGCCGCUAAUGAAGACGCAUACACACCGGUGACGUUGCGGCGCAAUAAUGAAGAUCUACGGGCGAAAGUAAAGCCACGGCAUGGCUUGUCGACCGUAUACUAUACACACUUGCGUGUGUAGCCAACUGAGAAGGAGAAGGCGGCAGGCAUUGCGAAGAAAUACGCGGGAAGAAGCUGUUCAGCGGGUCGGCUGAAUGGCCGGUGGCCAGAUGUUCUUCCCUUCUUCACAUCUGAGAGAUCGAUUUUCCGCUUCAGUCACGUUUCUCGAUCGAGGAUACUGCAGAAGGUUCGCACAGAGCCAAGCCAUUAAAAACACACAAUUAGUAGAGCCGCAACAAACAACGAUAAUAGUCGUUACACGAUGGCCAAUUGUAUACGGCAGAAUUUUUUAGAUCGAAGCAAGAAACUAAACGAUCGUUUAUAAUAUUCACAUUGAAAAGCUGAGAAAAUUUCAAUUAUACAAGAUUGAAAGGACAAUUAAUCCUAUUUAUCGAAUAGACUAAUUAAACUACCACGAGACAAAUUGAUUAACCCGAUCUCUACUAAACAGACUAAUUAAAACACU
rnacentral:misc_RNA from 1 species